CCUACGGGAGGCAGCAGUGAGGAAUAUUGGUCAAUGGACGAGAGUCUGAACCAGCCAAGUAGCGUGAAGGAUGACUGCCCUAUGGGUUGUAAACUUCUUUUAUAAAGGAAUAAAACGAGGCACGUGUGCCUUUUUGCAUGUACUUUAUGAAUAAGGACCGGCUAACUCCGUGCCAGCAGCCGCGGUAAUACGGAGGAUCCGAGCGUUAUCCGGAUUUAUUGGGUUUAAAGGGAGCGUAGACGGGUUGUUAAGUCAGUUGUGAAAGUUUGUGGCUCAACCGUAAAAUUGCAAUUGAUACUGGCAGUCUUGAGUGCAGUUGAGGUAUGCGGAAUUCGUGGUGUAGCGGUGAAAUGCUUAGAUAGCACGAAGAACCCCGAUUGCGAAGGCAGCUUACGAAACUGUGACUGACAUUGAUGCUCGAAGGUGUGGGUAUCAAACAGGAUUAGAUACCCUUGUAGUC
rnacentral:rRNA from 1 species